ACGCUCGACACCUACGGAAGGCAGCAGUGGGGAAUAUUGCACAAUGGGGGAAACCCUGAUGCAGCGACGCCGCGUGAGCGAAGAAGUAUUUCGGUAUGUAAAGCUCUAUCAGCAGGGAAGAAACUGACGGUACCUGACUAAGAAGCACCGGCUAAAUACGUGUCAGCAGCCGCGGUAAUCUGAGCGGGCUGGCAAGGC
rnacentral:rRNA from 1 species